AACAUGCAAGUCGAACGGCAGCACAGAAGAGCUUGCUCUUUGGUGGCGAGUGGCGGACGGGUGAGUAAUGUCUGGGAAACUGCCCGAUGGAGGGGGAUAACUACUGGAAACGGUAGCUAAUACCGCAUAACGUCGCAAGACCAAAGUGGGGGACCUUCGGGCCUCACACCAUCGGAUGUGCCCAGAUGGGAUUAGCUAGUAGGUGGGGUAAUGGCUCACCUAGGCGACGAUCCCUAGCUGGUCUGAGAGGAUGACCAGCCACACUGGAACUGAGACACGGUCCAGACUCCUACGGGAGGCAGCAGUGGGGAAUAUUGCACAAUGGGCGCAAGCCUGAUGCAGCCAUGCCGCGUGUAUGAAGAAGGCCUUCGGGUUGUAAAGUACUUUCAGCGGGGAGGAAGGCGGUGAGGUUAAUAACCUCGCCGAUUGACGUUACCCGCAGAAGAAGCACCGGCUAACUCCGUGCCAGCAGCCGCGGUAAUACGGAGGGUGCAAGCGUUAAUCGGAAUUACUGGGCGUAAAGCGCACGCAGGCGGUCUGUUAAGUCAGAUGUGAAAUCCCCGGGCUUAACCUGGGAACUGCAUUUGAAACUGGCAGGCUUGAGUCUCGUAGAGGGGGGUAGAAUUCCAGGUGUAGCGGUGAAAUGCGUAGAGAUCUGGAGGAAUACCGGUGGCGAAGGCGGCCCCCUGGACGAAGACUGACGCUCAGGUGCGAAAG
rnacentral:rRNA from 1 species